rnacentral:lncRNA from 1 species
UAAAGCCAAGUAAAUGGAGACAGUUAAAUCAUCCCAUGACAAUAUGAUUCAUAACAUUUAAAACUCAUUUCAAUUCAUAUAAAACAAUUACAUUUCAUUGAAAUAACCAACAAGGCUUAUGAUUCUCUUAAAAACUUGGCUUGUGCCAAAACUCAUACUUAGUGACACCUUGGCCCGGGCAUCCAACCGAGUCCGUCAAGGAUGUAAAAUGACAUAUACCCAUAAACCAUGUUUUUACUUUUAAAAUAUAGUCAUUCCUUGACGUUGGCUGAGUUUUAUCCUCAUGUGGUGGUUCGGCGUGAAGUGAACUCCAAACUUACCUUAGGAGAUACCCUUUCGCGCCUUUCGUACUAAGGUAAAAUAUAACGAGAUUUACCGUGCCCCUCUAAUAGACUAGUCCACGAAAACCCACCCACUGCAGUAAGCUAAUCAAAUAACCCACCAAAUCAAUAAAAAUUUCGACAGCAUGACGUGGCUAAUAUGAUAUUACCCAGCCUGUCAAGGUAAAAAAAAACAGUUCGUAUAAUUCACAAACCACAAAUCCAGCCAUUCAUGCCAUCACAUUGUCAUAAGCCAUCAAUUCAAACCAUAUAUCAAACACGAGUAUAUAGUCUCCACCUACUCAAUUUCCAAAAUCAUCAUUGAAUUGCAAAACAAUUUAUAAAUCUCAUUCAUUUAACCAACACUUAACCUAUAAAACAAAAAAAUCUACGGUUUAAGUUCAUUAUUCUUUAAAAUCAUAAAAACGAAUAUAAACUACUUUAGAUAGUUAAGGUGAACAUUUGAUUACUCAAAAUAGCGGGAGUUUAGAGUACUCCUAUUCUUGGUCCUCAGGUACGAUAUCUUUACCCUUAUCAAAGGGCUCACCACCUAUACAUAAUACACGACAUGUAAUUCAAUAUAUUUGUGCCAAACUGUUAUAAAACUAUUUCAGGCUCUAUAUGAAUGCAUGAAAUUGAAUGAGAAUUGUUCGAAUAAUCACUUAAAGACGGUGUUCUACGUGGGUUCAAUUAUGAUUGGACUGAAUUUGUAUUCGACCUAACUCGAACUAUACACUAUUGAAUUAACCAAAACAUCCGAUUCAACUUCAAAUAUAUUCAUUACACUUUCAAUAAUCCAAAUACACCAAAGUACCUCAAUGAGCUUGAUUGUGACUUAAUUCAUCAUAACCGAAUUCAUUCCGAUUCCGAACUAACGUGCUAAUCAGUGUUAACAAAGUCCAAUAAAUCCAUCUAUAUCAUUAAGAAUCAAAUCCAAGUCCAUUCACUAUGAUUUUCUUAUUAUUGUUCAAGUCGUUUACUAAAGGAACUAUACUUUUCGAUAACUGUUUUCGAUAUCCGAUACCAUAAAUCAUCAAUUACAAGCUAAAUAACAUGAAAUACAACAAAAUCCAUCAUCAACAUGUCAUCUAUAAAAUUCAGCCAAAGAAGGUUGUUGAAAGGCAUGUGAUUUUCUUUCUUGUUUUUCAUGCCAAACAUCAUCAAACAACUAAAAACACUAAGAUAUCAUGAAAUCUAGCAAAAUCCAUCAUCAAAAUCUCUCUCCCUAUGUUCGGCAAGCAAGUAUUCCCUCAUGAAAACUUGUGUUUCAUCCAUAGAAAAUGAAAAAAAAAAGUAUGGGAAAGGUAGAUCUUAAGCUGAAAUUGAAAAAUCUUACCUUUGAUUGUUUUGUUCUUUGAAAUUCAACAAAUUUCUCUUGAAUUUUCCUCUCUAGGGUUUGUUUCUAUUCUUUUCUCUUUGUUCUUUGCUUUGGCCGGCC